rnacentral:rRNA from 1 species
UACGGGGGGGGCAAGCGUUGUUCGGAAUUACUGGGCGUAAAGGGCUUGUAGGUGGCCAACUAAGUCGAACGUGAAAUCCCCGGGCUCAACCCGGGAACUGCGUCCGAUACUGGAAGGCUUGAAUCCGGGAGAGGGAUGCGGAAUUCCAGGUGUAGCGGUGAAAUGCGUAGAUAUCUGGAGGAACACCGGUGGCGAAGGCGGCAUCCUGGACCGGCAUUGACGCUGAGGCGCGAAAGCCAGGGGAGCAAACGGG